UGUGCACACUUGAUCAGUCGGACGAGUGACCUUCUACAUAUGUACAUAUGUUUUAUGUACCGUAAAUACAGUGCGCAUUUAAGUUGUAUCUCACUCAAAACCCAUCAUUGAUUAGGCUAAAUUAUCAAUUAAAAAGUUAAUUUAAAUUUUAAUAACGAUUACGAAUCAAGAUUAAAACCACUUGAUCGAGCACAAUUUACAUCCAAUCUACGUGAUAAAGUUUUGCAGUAUUUAAUAACUCUGAAUCUGUCCAGUUAUUAAAUUCGUCUUCUCCGUGCUAAAAAAUGGAAUUUGGACGACCUUUUUCCUCAAUUUGUUCUCAUUGCAAUACACGUGCGAAAUUCUACGCUCUUCAAGAUUGCUUUCAUGCCCUGUGCAAAUUUUGCUGGAUCGGGAUAAAAGCGGAUUUAGCGAAGUCACCGGGAUUGGAGGUUAAGUGUCCGAAAGAUGACACACGGUUGCCAAUGGUUAAACUUGGUAUCUUAACAGAUGCUGAUUUUCAUACUUUCCCAGCAGUGAGACUGGCUAGAGGAAGGGACAAUUCUGAAUUAAUGACAAAAAAGACAGCCCCUCAUCCUACAGAACCUAGGUUAAGUGUUGUCCUCGAGUGCACCAUUUGUAUGGAUCCUGCCGCAUCUCCGAUCCACCAAUGUGUCAAUUGCCACAUUGUGUGUGGAUUUUGCGCCGAGAAAAUGACCCAAUGUGGACUUUGUAAAACAAAUUUGCAAGUAUCAGACUUAGCUGAGAGACAGUCACGACAAUUUGAUUUGAAAUGGAAAUGUUACAACUUUGAGUCCGGCUGCGUUGUCCCACUGGCUGCGACGGGGGCGAAGUACCACGUGGCAAAAUGCUACUACAGAGUCAGAUGAAUUCUUGGUAGUAACCCGGGUGAAAAUCGUAUGUCGAAUUUGACAUAAUCCUACACAAGUGGCCGGAACAAUGGUUUAUGCAGAAAAUGUAUGAAGGAUUCUGCAUAAAACUUCUAUCAGGGACGUAGUAUGCGAUAUUACUCAGAAGCAAAGAUGCGACAAGAUUCGAGUCCCUUUCAAAACUUUCACCGAGCAUUUACAAAGCAUGCAUAAUGUUAAGGAAGGGACUGAUGGGAAACAUAUAACUUACGACUUUGUCUUUGCAAUUAGUGGAGAUAAUUUUGCAAAUUCUGGACAUAACGAGAUCCCCAGAAUGUUAAAUAUGAACGGUCAGAUAUUCCUAUUUCAUUCUUCUUACGAGAUGAAAUCCGUACAUUUUUGGGCAACCGUGCUGGGAAAUGACAAAACCGCUGAGAAAAAUGUGUUUUAUUUGAAUAUAAAGAGUGACACAGGUAACCCAAGAAAGAUGGAGCAAUCUUACACGGUGCCAGUGUUACCGUAUCACGGUCAUUCGAGAUUUUCAAGGGAGACCAUGCAAGAAAAGUGUGUCACUAUUACGUCCUCCGUUGUGACGCAAUUUGGAGUGCGGAAAGCAACCGG